AGCAGCCGCGGUAAUUCCAGCUCCAAUAGCGUAUAUUAAAGUUGUUGCAGUUAAAAAGCUCGUAGUUGAAUUUCGGGGUUAGUAGGUUGGUCAUGCCUCUGGUAUGUACUGGUCUCACUGAUUCCUCCUUCCUGAUGAGCCGUAAUGCCAUUAAUUUGGUGUUGCGGGGAAUUUGGACUGUUACUUUGAAAAAAUUAGAGUGUUUAAAGCAGGCUCACGCUUGAAUACAUUAGCAUGGAAUAAUGAAAUAGGACGUUUGAUUCUAUUUUGUUGGUUUCUAGGAUCGACGUAAUGAUUAAUAGGGAUAGUUGGGGGCAUUAGUAUUCAAUUGUCAGAGGUGAAAUUCUUGGAUUUAUUGAAGACUAACUACUGCGAAAGCAUUUGCCAAGGAUGUUUUCAUUAAUCAAGAACGAAAGUUAGGGGAUCGAAGACGAUCAGAUACCGUCGUAGUCUUAACCAUAAACUAUGCCGACUAGGGAUCGGAUGAUGUUAAUUUUUUAAUGACUCAUUCGGCGCCUUACG
rnacentral:rRNA from 1 species